CCUACGGGGGCUGCAGUGGGGAAUAUUGGACAAUGGGGGGAACCCUGAUCCAGCCAUGCCGCGUGUGUGAAGAAGGCCCUCGGGGUGUAAAGCACUUUCAGUGAGGAAGAACGCCUGGUGGUUAAUACCCAUCAGGAAAGACAUCACUCACAGAAGAAGCACCGGCUAACUCCGUGCCAGCAGCCGCGGUAAUACGGAGGGUGCGAGCGUUAAUCGGAAUUACUGGGCGUAAAGCGCGCGUAGGUGGCUUGAUAAGCCGGUUGUGAAAGCCCCGGGCUCAACCUGGGAACGGCAUCCGGAACUGUCAAGCUAGAGUGCAGGAGAGGAAGGUAGAAUUCCCGGUGUAGCGGUGAAAUGCGUAGAGAUCGGGAGGAAUACCAGUGGCGAAGGCGGCCUUCUGGACUGACACUGACACUGAGGUGCGAAAGCGUGGGUAGCAAACAGGAUUAGAUACCCCGGUAGUC
rnacentral:rRNA from 1 species